rfam:Hordeum vulgare subsp. vulgare, WGS project CAJW01000000 data, contig: morex_contig_367287
GAUAGGAAGAGGAAGAAAGAGAGAGUGUAAGAGAAGUAGGAAUGAGAACAUCGAGGAAAGCUAAUUGGUUCUUCACCUCUUGUUUUGAUGUGAUGAUUCACUUUGGUAUUUCCCGAUGCCUCUUAUUCCUAUUAUUCUUAGGCGCUCCUUUCUCUUCCUUUUUGUU